CGUGAGGAACCUGCCUUUCAGAGGGGGACAACAGUUGGAAACGACUGCUAAUACCGCAUGAUGUAUCGGAGUCGCAUGGCACUGAUACCAAAGAUUUAUCGCUGAAAGAUGGCCUCGCGUCUGAUUAGCUAGUUGGUGAGGUAACGGCCCACCAAGGCGACGAUCAGUAGCCGGACUGAGAGGUUGACCGGCCACAUUGGGACUGAGAUACGGCCCAGACUCCUACGGGAGGCAGCAG
rnacentral:rRNA from 1 species